rnacentral:rRNA from 1 species
AUUGAACGCUGGCGGCAUGCCUUACACAUGCAAGUCGAACGGCAGCACGGGUGCUUGCCCCUGGUGGCGAGUGGCGAACGGGUGAGUAAUACAUCGGAACAUGUCCUGUAGUGGGGGAUAGCCCGGCGAAAGCCGGAUAAAUACCGCAUACGAUCCACGGAUGAAAGCGGGGGACCUUCGGGCCUCGCGCUAUAGGGUUGGCCGAUGGCUGAUUAGCUAGUUGGUGGGGUAAAGGCCUACCAAGGCGACGAUCAGUAGCUGGUCUGAGAGGACGACCAGCCACACUGGGACUGAGACACGGCCCAGACUCCUACGGGAGGCAGCAGUGGGGAAUUUUGGACAAAGGGCGAAAGCCUGAUCCAGCAAUGCCGCGUGUGUGAAGAAGGCCUUCGGGUUGUAAAGCACUUUUGUCCGGAAAGAAAUCCUUGACUCUAAUACAGUCGGGGGAUGACGGUACCGGAAGAAUAAGCACCGGCUAACUACGUG